UACGAAGGGGGCUAGCGUUGCUCGGAAUCACUGGGCGUAAAGGGUGCGUAGGCGGGUCUUUAAGUCAGGGGUGAAAUCCUGGAGCUCAACUCCAGAACUGCCUUUGAUACUGAGGAUCUUGAGUUCGGGAGAGGUGAGUGGAACUGCGAGUGUAGAGGUGAAAUUCGUAGAUAUUCGCAAGAACACCAGUGGCGAAGGCGGCUCACUGGCCCGAUACUGACGCUGAUGCACGAAAGCGUGGGGAGCAAACAGGA
rnacentral:rRNA from 1 species